rnacentral:pre_miRNA from 1 species
UGGGGGAGUGCAGGAUCCUGGCUGUGUCCCCUGGCGCCCUGGGAUCCGGGGCCUGCGCUGCUGGAAUCGCGCUCCAGGCAGUGGCUCCCA